UAAAAAGUUUAGUUUUUAUGAAUUGUUCCCGAAUUGUGAAGAGUUAAAAAUUUAUUUAUUUUAAUGUGGUAUAAUUAUUUGUAAUAUAUUUUUUGUAAUUAUAUGUUAGUCGUUUCUUAAUAUAUCUGGUUUUUUAGGAAAUUAAUUUAAUUAAGCUAUAUCUGGUAUAUAGGCUAUUUGUUUAGUUUUUAUUUGGUUAUAUGUAAUUCUUGAGGGGAAAAGCUUUUAAGAGAAAAAAUAUAAUGAGGAAAAUUGUUUCAUUAUUUGUAGGAAUAGAAGUUUCCAUCUAUUUGAGUGUGUUGUUACUUAUUUUUAGUUAAUUUAAUUUUUUUUUAUUUAUGUUUUUUACUAAAAUUAUAAUUCUAAUUAUGUUUUUUAUGUAAUAAUGAUUAAAUUAGUAUAUUUAUGUGUAUAUUGUAAUUAAAUUGUGAGGUUAUUUAAAGGAAUUCGGCAAAUUAAUUCUUUGCCUGUUUAUUAAAAACAUGGCCUUUUGUUAAUUAUUUAAGGUCUGGCCUGCUCUAUGAUUUAUUAAAUGGCUGCGGUAUCUU
rnacentral:rRNA from 1 species